ACUCCUACGGGAGGCAGCAGUGGGAAUAUUGGACAAUGGGGCAACCCUGAUCCAGCCAUGCCGCGUGCGUGAAGAAGGCCUUAGGGUUGUAAAGCGCUUUCACUGGUGAAGAUGAUGACGGUAGCCAGAGAAGAAGCCCCGGCUAACUCCGUGCCAGCAGCCGCGGUAAUACGGAGGGGCAAGCGUUGUUCGGAAUUAGCU
rnacentral:rRNA from 1 species